rnacentral:rRNA from 1 species
UACGUAGGUGGCAAGCGUUGUCCGGAAUUAUUGGGCGUAAAGCGCGCGCAGGCGGUUUCUUAAGUCUGAUGUGAAAGCCCACGGCUCAACCGUGGAGGGUCAUUGGAAACUGGGGAACUUGAGUGCAGAAGAGAAGAGCGGAAUUCCACGUGUAGCGGUGAAAUGCGUAGAGAUGUGGAGGAACACCAGUGGCGAAGGCGGCUCUUUGGUCUGUAACUGACGCUGAGGCGCGAAAGCUAGGGGAGCAAACAGG